GAUGAACGCUGGCGGCGUGCCUAAUACAUGCAAGUCGAACGAACAGACGAGGAGCUUGCUCCUCUGACGUUAGCGGAGCAGGGGUGAGUAACACGUGGAACACCUACCUAUCAGACUGGGAUCAUUUCGGGAAAGGGGCGCUAAUCGCGGAGAAUAUAUUGAACCGCGUGGUUGAAUAGUGAGAGACGGUUGUGCGGUCUCUAAUAGAUGGAUAUGAGCGGCUUUAGCUAGUAGGUGAGGUCACGGGUUACCACGGCAACGAUGCGUGGCCGACGGGAGAGGGGGAUCGGCCACACGGGAGCGGAGACGCGGUCCAGAGGCCUACGGGAGGGAGCAGUAGGGAAUCGUCCGCAAUGGGCGGAAGUCUGGCGGAGCAACGCCGCGCGAGAGACGAAGGUGUUCGGAUCGUAAAGCCCUGUUAUGAGUUGAGAACAGAUUUGUAAGUAACUAUGCAGGUCGUGACGGUACCGAAUCAGAAAGCCACGGCUAACUACGUG
rnacentral:rRNA from 1 species